rnacentral:rRNA from 1 species
AUUUAACGGCCGCGGUACCCUAACCGUGCGAAGGUAGCAUAAUCACUUGUUCUUUAAAUGAGGACUCGUAUCAACGGCAUCACGAGGAUCCUACUGUCUCCCCCCUCUAAUCGGUGAAACUGAUCUCUCCGUGAAGAAGCGGAGAUGUACAUAUAAGACGAGAAGACCCCAUGGAGCUUUAAACCCAACAACACCCGCCCCCCUCCAAAUCCUAUUAUGUGCCCGGUGACUGUUUGUUCGGUUUUAGGUUGGGGUGACCGCGGAGUAUAAGAUAUCCUCCAUGAAAAAAGCUAACUGCCCUUAUUAGAGAAAGACACUUCCAAAAAAUAAUAAAUUAAUUUUAAAUGAUCCGACAUUCGAUCAACGAACCAAGUUACCCUGGGGAUAACAGCGCAAUCCGUCCCGAGAGCCCCUAUCGACAGGCGGGUUUACGACCUCGAUGUUGGAUCAGGGUAUCCUAGUGGUGCAGCAGCUACUAAAGGUUCGUUUGUUCAACGAUUAAAACCCU